rnacentral:rRNA from 1 species
CGGAGGGCGGCGUGCUUACCAUGCAAGUCGAACGAUGAACCACUUCGGUGGGGAUUAGUGGCGAACGGGUGAGUAACACGUGGGCAAUCUGCCCUGCACUCUGGGACAAGCCCUGGAAACGGGGUCUAAUACCGGAUACUGACCCGCUUGGGCAUCCAAGCGGUUCGAAAGCUCCGGCGGUGCAGGAUGAGCCCGCGGCCUAUCAGCUUGUUGGUGAGGUAAUGGCUCACCAAGGCGACGACGGGUAGCCGGCCUGAGAGGGCGACCGGCCACACUGGGACUGAGACACGGCCCACACUCCUACGGGAGGCAGCAGUGGGGAAUAUUGCACAAUGGGCGAAAGCCUGAUGCAGCGACGCCGCGUGAGGGAUGACGGCCUUCGGGUUGUAAACCUCUUUCAGCAGGGAAGAAGCGAAAGUGACGGUACCUGCAAAACACGCGCCGGCUAACUACGUGCCAGCAGCCGCUGUAAUACGUAGGGCGCGAGCGUUGUACGGAAUUAUUGGGCGAUAAAGAGCUCGGAGGCGGCUUGUCACAUCGGAUGUGAAAGCCCUGAGCUCAGCCCCGGGUCUGCAGUCGAUACGGGCAGGCUAGAGAUCGGAAAUGGGAGAUCCGAAUUUCUGGUGUAGAGGUGCAAAGCUCAGAAAUAACGAGGAACACCAGGGGUAUCUGUGGAUCACUAGUCAGACACAGACGCUAAGCAUCGAAAGCGAACAGAUUACAUACGAUGAUAACCACGCCAUACCCUUGGAACUAGGUGUGACUACAUUCGAGUCAACUGUGCCUAGCUAUGCAUUACUUCCCCUCUGGGGACACCCCGCAAAGCUAAACUCAAGGAUUUACUCCCGCCCCUCAGCGGCGCACCUGUAGCUUAUUCAACCACGCUAAAUCUUACCACGCUUGAAUAUCCCAAAGUUUAAAAAUUCCCCCCCUUCACAUAUAUAACGGUGUUUGGCUUUUUCGCUCGUUGGUAAAUUUGUAUUAUUCGUCAACCCCCUACUUUUUGUGUUUUUGGGUGU